rnacentral:rRNA from 1 species
GCGUAAAGCGUCUGUAGGUUGCCUAACAAGUCUGUUGUUAAAGGUUAAAGCUUAACUUUAAAACUGCAGCAGAAACUGCUAGGCUUGAGUACAGUUGAAGUAGAGGGAAUUUCCAGUGAAGCGGUGAAAUGCGUAGAUAUUGGAAGGAACACCAAUGGCGAAAGCACUCUACUAGACUUUUACUGACACUCAGAGACGAAAGCUAGGGUAGCAAAUGGGAUUAGAUACCCCAGUAGUCCUAGCCGUAAACGAUGGAUACUAAACAUUGCGUGCAUCGAUCCGCGUGGUGUUAUAGCUAACGCGUUAAGUAUCCCGCCUGGGGAGUAUGCUCGCAAGGGUGAAACUCAAAGGAAUUGACGGGGGCCCGCACAAGCGGUGGAGCAUGUGGUUUAAUUUGAUGCAACGCGAAGAACCUUACCAGGGUUUGACAUGGUGUUAAUUCUUUGAAAAAAGAAGUACCGUUCGCGGUAGACACACACAGGUGGUGCAUGGCUGUCGUCAGCUCAUGUCGUGAAAUGUUGGGUUAAGUCCCGCAACGAGCGCAACCCCUGUUUUUAGUUACAAGUAAUCUAAAAAGACUAUCGGUUAUAAACCGGAGGAAGGUGGGGACGACGUCAAGUCAGCAUGCCCCUUAUACCCUGGGCUACACACGUGCUACAUUGGGUAGGACAAUGAGACGCCAAACCGUGAGGUCGAGCUAAUCUACAAACCUACUCUAAGUUCGGAUUGGAGGCUGCAACUCGUCUAC